rnacentral:lncRNA from 1 species
AUAAUGGUGUUUUUAUUCAGCCCAAACAAAACUAUUCUAAUUAGUUUAAAGGAGAAAGCUGACAUGCAAGGACCUGCAGCCUUGCAGGUGGGGAGAGUGAGCAGCAAGUCCCAGUGAUGAAGGCCCUGGCCACCCUCAAGAGCAGGCACUCAAAACAUGAGAUUCUCUUUCUAAAGUCUCUAGAGUUAGAAAUUCUAAGUGCAUUCCCUUACCUGGUGUGGCCAUUGACCCU